rnacentral:rRNA from 1 species
GACGAACGCUGGCGGCGUGCUUAACACAUGCAAGUCGAACGGUGAAGCUCCAGCUUGCUGGCGUGGAUCAGUGGCGAACGGGUGAGUAACACGUGAGCAACCUGCCCCAGACUCUGGAAUAAGCGCUGGAAACGGCGUCUAAUACUGGAUACGAGAUCAAGCCGCAUGGUUAUGGUCUGGAAAGUUUUUCGGUUUGGGAUGGGCUCGCGGCCUAUCAGCUUGUUGGUGAGGUAAUGGCUCACCAAGGCGACGACGGGUAGCCGGCCUGAGAGGGCGACCGGCCACAUUGGGACUGAGACACGGCCCAGACUCCUACGGGAGGCAGCAGUGGGGAAUAUUGCACAAUGGGCGAAAGCCUGAUGCAGCGACGCCGCGUGAGGGAUGACGGCCUUCGGGUUGUAAACCUCUUUCAGCAGGGAAGAAGCGAAAGUGACGGUACCUGCAGAAGAAGCACCGGCUAACUACGUG